AACAAUAUUUUAAAAUAAUUUUUGUUUGCAAUGCAAAAAUCAAUAUAAAUCUUGUGACGCGCGGUGUUCAACUUUAGUCAGCGCCAGGCGCUUACCGAGGAGGGACGUAUCGCUCGCUGUUGCGCCGCGUAAACUCGCCGGAGUUCGAAAAAUAUAGCGCAACCUACGCAUCUAACACGUUUUGAUACUAGAUAAUGAAAGCAUAUUUAAUUCAGACUAUCAGACUCAAUUGAAUACCAGUACAAAUAAUAUGGAAAAUGAAGAUACAAUACAUGGAAGACGAAUUAUAGAUUUUAGUUUUUUUAUAAAUCUACUUAUAAUUGAUAAACAUGGUGAAAAGUUUGGUUGUCGAUUAAAUAAUUUAAAAAUUGUAAACGAUUACUUGUUUAUUGUAACUCAAUCGAGCUAUUCUAGGUUAUAAAAUUCAUCGGUACAAAUAAUAUUUCAUAAACUAUAAAAACAAUAAAUUAUUUCGGAAAAAAGUGGCAAAGUCUCAAGUUUGUUUGUGCCGCGUGGCGGUCCGCAGGUGUGCGUUGCGUAUUUCACUAGACGCACACAUGCGCAAGUGCUGCCGGCUAUCGUCUAAUUUACCUACAACUGAGCAAUUCGAAUUUGUAAUAGCGCUCUUAA
rnacentral:lncRNA from 1 species